GCGGGCUGCCGCUCCCUAUCAAACCGCGGGCGGCGCGGACGGCGUCGCGCGAGGGACAAGGUGUGCGAGGCGCCUGCACCUUCAUCUCCAGCGUCGAGCUGACCUGCACCUCUGGCGUGGUUACCCGUCGCUGUAAAGGGAAAUAUUCUGGACCCCCGAGCAGUCUGCUCAACUGGUACGAGGAAAAGUCAAGAAAAGCUCCUUUGAGAAGGUCUCCCUGGAAGACAGGCCCAUGAGGAGCUGAAGAAAGAAGUGGGAGGACAGAGGAGAACUCACACAAGAUGUUUGCAGGAGGAAGAAUUCAGAUUGGAAAAUAAAAAUGGGAGAGAAGCCAGGGAGGGAUGGGAAGAAAAUAGAAGAAAGAGGAAGAAGACCAAGAAGGAAGAAAAUGGACAUGAAGUGGUUGCCUUCUUAUGAACUCCCUGCAAGGGAAACAGAGCCCAGAGGCAAUAGCCUAGUUUUCAGGAGACUCCAUGGUCUCCUAAGUCUUAUCCGUUGUGCUUUACCCUCCAGACCAGGCUGGAAUCUGAGCUUGGGAUCCUCUCCUGCUCAAAAGCCUUCCAUGACUCCCUUUGGCUACCAUAUUUAGUCUCAGCUCAUUGACCACCCUUCCAAGGGCUCUCAUCCUUGAAGUAGAAUUCAUUCCCUUGCCCAAAAUCAUCCCCUCAUCUCUAGGCCAGCAUGAGCUCUGUGUAUUCCUCUCUUAAGAUGCUCCUUUACCCAAUUUUCUUCCCUCCUUGCCUUUCACAGCCAAUCUUUCCUAAAAUAUAAGGCCCAAACACUAUGAACUUUUUUCAGGAGGCUCUCCCAGAUUCCAUCCCAUGCUGACUCUUCCUUUCACUAGAUUCCUGUGGACACUGUUUCUCAUGGGUUUGUUGGGCCUUUUCACCUAGUUGGGAGUCCCAGGAGGAUAGGAUGCUUCUCCCAUGGCAUGGCUGAGCACAGAACUCGUUCAUGGCAGGUGUUUAUUCAAGUAUGAGGCUGCUAGUUUCUCAAACACACAUUGAUUCUGCCACUGUUCUGAGCAACUAGACCUCUUUCCAGGAAUCAGCAAUCAGUUUCCUCGAAGAGUCACCCCAGAAAAUCUCAUUUCAAAAAGACUGAAUUUGCCACCAAAUUUGUCCCUGAAGUGACUGUAAUGAUUAAUUGUGUGUUAAUUUGGCUGGGUGAUGGUGCCUAAAUAUGUGGUCAUGCUUAAUUCUGGAUGUUUCUGUGAGGGUGUUUUUGGAUGAGAUGAACAUUUGAAUCGGCAGACUUUGACUAAAGCAGAUUGCUCUUCAUAAUGUGAGUGGGCCUUAUCCAAUCAGUUGGAGGCCUGAAUAGAACAAAAGACCCACUUCCCCCAGCAAGAAGCAAUUCUGUAGCCAGCCGAACUUUGGAUUUGAACUGCAGCAUCUGUCUUUCCUGGGUCUCCAGCCUGUUGGCCCACCUUGCAGAGUCUGGAUUUGCCAGCUUCUAAAAUCACAUGAGCCAGUUGCCUAAAGUAAAUCUCUCUCUC
rnacentral:lncRNA from 1 species